rnacentral:rRNA from 1 species
CCUACGGGGGGCAGCAGUGGGGAAUAUUGGACAAUGGGCGAAAGCCUGAUCCAGCCAUGCCGCGUGUGUGAAGAAGGCCUUCGGGUUGUAAAGCACUUUCAGUGGGGAAGAAAGCCUUGGGGCUAAUACCCUCGAGGAAGGACAUCACCCACAGAAGAAGCACCGGCUAACUCCGUGCCAGCAGCCGCGGUAAUACGGAGGGUGCGAGCGUUAAUCGGAAUUACUGGGCGUAAAGCGCGCGUAGGCGGUCUGAUAAGCCGGUUGUGAAAGCCCCGGGCUCAACCUGGGAACGGCAUCCGGAACUGUCAGGCUAGAGUGCAGGAGAGGAAGGUAGAAUUCCCGGUGUAGCGGUGAAAUGCGUAGAGAUCGGGAGGAAGACCAGUGGCGAAGGCGGCCUUCUGGACUGACACUGACGCUGAGGUGCGAAAGCGUGGGUAGCAAACAGGAUUAGAUACCCCAGUAGU